rnacentral:lncRNA from 1 species
AUCGAGAGUCAGAUGCUUAACUGACUAAGCCACCCAGGCACUCCAGUAGUGAUUUUUGGCAAAGGAGAAUUUUACAGUCAUUAACUGCAGCAAAGUUUUGAUAUGAGCUACUGAUCAACUACUCAUGCCAUCUCUGCCUCUUCUGUUUGCAUAAAUAAUUUAAACUUAGCUGAAUAGAUAAUUGGCAUCUAUAAUUAUGACCCAACUAAUUUUACUCUUGGUCCACUGUGAGUGUUAGCCAUGUAUUCAAAGUUCAUUAGUAAUUUGGUAUAGGAGAUUAAUAAAGAGUAUUUUUAUUUAUGGAAGGGGAAGAGUAUUGAUAAAACUUUUUUAGUGGUAAUUUACCAAGAUGAUAAACUAGAAAACUAUGAAGUUUUAAUUUUAAUUUUUGGCAUAUGCUGUAAUGAUGGAAUUUCUGUUUGGAAUACACAGGAACUAAGCACAGACAGUGACUCUCCUGAAAUUAGCUUUCUCUCAGGUACUACUACUAAAGUAUCUGAUGUGGUGGUUGUAAAGGAGAAAACGUUAAUAGAGCCAGAGAAGAUCUCAGCAAUACCAAACCAGUUUUCUCAGUCUGGAAAGGAAGCCACAUUGACCAUGAAUUCUGAAGAAACCAAGGAUGAAGAAAGUUCUCUUAAAACUUUUGUGUCUGCUUUGGAAAGGUUACUCACAUCACCAGAAAUCACUCAGGAGGAAAGAGUGUUUGAAAUAAUGAGUGAUUUUGAACCUGAAGAGUUGGCCAACCCAUCGAGCAACUCUCCAAGUUCCAUAUCCGUAUCUUUGACAUGUCACAGAGAUUUACUAGAAAGCACAAAGGAUGAUGCAUUGCCAACUGAGUUGUUAGCAGCCCUAAACACAUUAUCAGAGGGCAACGUGGGACCCUUCUGUCACAGAAAAGAGGGAGGCAGCAGUCUCAGUGUCGGAAGUAAAUAUUCAGGAGUGGAGCCCAAGAUGUCUCAGACCAGUGAAGAUUGUACACAAAUAACAGAGGUUACACAAAUAACAGAGACUCUAGAAGAUCCAAGUCCAUUUGGGUUGCAGACUUUGGUUCAUCAAAACGUCACCUCUUGUGAUCCACUAAAUAAUAAGGGAAACUCAAAUUCAGUGGAAAAUAAAUCUGAUCAGAACACUCCAUGUGUGUUAAGGAGAUCAUCCAGACUGAAAGCAGGCAGAGAUGCAAAGCACACAGAUAACGUGUGUAAGAUGCCAGAAAAGAUUUUACCAAUGAUACUUCUCAGUGAGGAUCAAACAAAUAAUAACUCUUCAAGUAAGAAUUUCAGAAUUCAGGAUCCUGCUUUAAUGAUUAAAGGUAAAGGGAAGAAUAUGAAUUCAACCAGACUCAAAAGUGGAGAACAGAUGCAGAGAAACAAAAAACUUGCUGGAAAAAAUGAAAAAAUGAAGAGGAAUAAAAUAUCUCUGUCUAGCAUUAACCGUAGAAACAUUUUUGGAGAGAACUUACUGUAUCAGGCUGCUCUGCAUAAUGACGUUGAUCUUGUUCAUCAUUAUAUAAUAAAAGGUGGAAAUGUUAA